rnacentral:misc_RNA from 1 species
GAGAAGUGCUGAAGUGGGGUACAAAGAAAAUUCAAGAAAGAAACUGCAAGAAAGAUACAACAAGAAGAAACCUGCCGAUUCACACAUACAAUCCUCUCUUUCUGUUCUUACGCGCAUAUCCAUUUUGAUCCUUUUCUUGAUUUUUGUUUCUUGUUUUCACAAUCUUCUUCUUGGCUUUUUAUGGCGAAAACGGGGGGUUUUCUUGAAGUUCUUCCUACUACUGUGUCAAACUCAACUGAGUUGAAGAAGGAAUUGCUGAGGCUUGUGAAUGCAAUUCCUGAUGGGGAAGAUUUUAGCUUGGAGAUUGCUGAUGAGGUUUUAAGGAUUUUGACUGCUUUGAAUGAAUUGAAAUUUGAGAAGUCAUCGGAUUCUUUGAAGCUGGUUGAUGAUAAGGAUACGGUUGUUCCUGAUGAAUUUAAAUGUCCCAUUUCAGGAGACCUCAUGGUUGACCCUGUCAUCUUGGCUACUGGGCAGGUUAGAGAUUGCACUUGCUUUUCAACUUUCCGUUCAACUUUCCAUUUAAUUUCUUUUUCCUUUGAGUUUCUUUUGAGGUUAUAUUUUAUUGUUAUUUUCAAGAUUGUGUUUGAGUGUACAUGCUUGAAUUUCACUUUCUUGGGGGAUUUUAGUUCAAGGAUUUUACGUCAAAGUUGGUAUUUGAUCUUGUGUUGAAUGUUUUGCCUUGCAUUUGCAAUAGAUUUUAAGAACUCUGCUUACUUGGAUUUUGGUUCUGCUUUAUAUUUGAGGUUCUGGGUUUGCAUAAACUUCAUACUGGAGUUAAUUAUACCUUCUUCCUUGCCAAAUUCUGCAAGAAUCAAGAUUCUUAAGAGAAUGGUAUUUGUCUUCGAAAUUUAAAAUCAUUAAAAUAUUUUUUAAAAAAUUGUUAAUCUCUUUCCCCUCUCCUUUUACUCUUUUUUCUUGGUGUUUGUAUUGAAUUUCUUCAUUUAUAUGUAAUACCCAGAAUAGGAAAUGAGAAAUAACAUUCAUUUCAAGAAGAUUGAUUUUCUCGAGAAAGUGGUGCCUAGAGCAAAGAAUUUCCUAGGUGAAGAAUCCAGUUGAUAAUUAAGCAUAAUUUGAGAUUAGGAGAAAAUAGGUCCAGUUUAGAAUUUUGAAAUAGCCUGGAUAUUUAUGUUUGACACUUUUCACCAUUAUUUUCCAUGUUGGAGAUCACGUAGUCAGACGGGUAAUCUACAUUGUGGAAAGCGGCCUCACAAACAAGGAUAAGGAAUUGACCCUAGUUGAUUUUGGAGCACUAAUAAAUCUGUCACCAAUAAAGUGCCAAUGUUCUUGUGCUUUAAUUGAUGCUAAUCUAAUUUGUUUUGCCAAUUACAUAUGAUAGUGACAUUCAAACUAGGAUAAGGAUUUAGUCUUCAUCAAUUGUUGAGCACUUACAAAUAUGUUAUCCACACAGCACCAAGAUUUAUAUUCCAUUUUUCUGUCCACCUACUGAUGCUUUGCCAUUGAAUUCCUUUGAUAUGAUAGCUGGUUCCAAUAUUUUCUGUGAUUUGAAUCUUGAAGACUCAUAGUGUAUUCAUUCAUUUUUGGUUUAUCCUGAAAUGUGUCUUGAUUUGCAGACGUAUGAUCGGUCAUUCAUCCUGCGAUGGUUAAAUGAUGGGCACCAGACAUGUCCUCAAACUCAGCAAGUCCUCUCCCAUACUAUCCUUACCCCUAAUCUCUUGGUACGAGAAAUGAUUUCACGUUGGUGCAAUGAGCAUGGAAUUGAGCUCCCCGGGCCUGUUGAGGAUGUUGAGGAAAUUGUUGUUGUUGAUGCAGACAAAGACUACUUGUAUUCACUGUUGAAAAAGAUGUCCUCUUCCCUCUCUGAUCAAAAAGAAGCUGCAAAAGAGCUUCGGCUGCUUACUAAAAAGAUGCCAUCAUAUCGGGCCCUUUUUGGUCAGUGCACUGAUUCCAUUUUGCUUUUACUCAAGCCACUAUUAACAGGCAGAGUUGAUUCUCAUCCUGAUCUCCAAGAGGAUUUGAUUACAACAAUUAUGAACGUCUCCAUUCAUGAAAAUAAUAAGGAAAUAGUUGCUGAACAUCCACUUGUCAUUCCUCUGCUUAUUGAAUCUCUGAAAUAUGGAACCAUGGAAACAAGAAGUAAUGCUGCUGCAACUCUCUUUACCCUAUCGUCUCUUGAUUCAAACAAGAUUCUUAUUGGGAAAUCAGGUGCUCUCAAACCCCUUAUUGACCUCUUAGAGGAAGGGCAUCCAUUAGCCAUGAUGGAUGCUGCAUGUGCAAUAUUCAACCUAUGCAAAGCCCCCGAGAAUAGAGGGAAAGCAGCCUGUGACGGGGCAGUUAGGGUGAUCUUGGAAAAGAUGAUGGAGAGCGUACUUAUUGAUGAGCUGUUGGCUAUUCUUGUUUUGCUUGCUAGCCAUAAGAAGGCGGUUGAGGAAAUGGUGGAGCUUGGUGCUGUGGGUUGCUUGCUCAGAAUUAUCAGGGGAGGCACUUCUGAACGCAACAAGGAGAACUGUGCAGCAAUCUUAUACUUAGUCUGUGUAGAUGAGCGGGCCACGUGGAAGGAGAUUAGGGAAGAGGAAAAUGCUAAUCAUACACUUUCUAAACUUGCUGAAAAUGGUACUUCAAGAGCCAGGAGAAAGAUCAACAGCAUUCUCGAGAAGGUGCAGAAAGCUGCCCAUACUGCGUGAUAAAAGAAAUCUUUACUCCAUAGACAUGAUCAAUUACUUCCUAUACAUUCUUUCAUCCUUCACUCUGCCAUGGAAACACUAAUACUAGCUCAGUUACCUGUAAAAAGUUCACAUACACAAUUGUACAUGUCAUUGUCACCUAUUCUCAUAACAGGCAAGUUUUGGUCCAUCUGAGGCUAAUAGAUAAGCAAAGGGCAUUGAAUUUUACCUCUGGUUUCAUGAAUGAAUACAUUAGUAAUUCUGGUGAGUUUUAAUCUGUCUUCCUGUGGAUUCUUUAAAUUUUUUCCAGGAAGUUUUGUCUUGUGCACUGAAAUAGGAUUGUUAAUGUUUUGGAUUAUUUGAUUGCUAUGAUUCUGGGCAUUGUUGACAAGUUAGAAGAGCGGGCAGGGCCUACUGAUUGGAAAUGAUUGUCACAGAUUAAGAUGCUGAGUGGCUGGAGUUGUUGUGGGGUCUCAAUUGUUCAUUUCACCAGCAACUUUGAGUGUCGGCACCAUAUCGUAAAAAAAAUAUUUUAUAUAGUUGUUUAAUACCAACUAGUUUGGAGUCUUAAAAUAUUUUGAGUGUAUGAUGCUGACAAAAUCUGGACGGUGCUAUAGGAUUCAGUAGCUAGACUAGAAAAAUACAAGCAAAAGGAGUAAAUUGAUGUAGAUAUCCAGUAUCUCCAAGAUGCGCUGACUCCUUAUUCCAUCAUCUGUUAUACCCACCAAGAUUAUAUUACAAGUUAAGC